rnacentral:lncRNA from 1 species
AGAUCCCCAGCACCGGACACUGCAGGAAAACAAGAGGAGCAGCCAGCCUGCAGCCAUCCCUAGGUGGUGCACGCCGCCCUCCAGCCUGAGCCCUGCUCCCCCCGCCAGGAGAGUGCACAGCUCCUAGCUCCCAGGGCUGGCCUGGGGGAAGACACCAGGGCCAGCCUGCAGCAGCACAGCUGCAGGAAUGAAUGUCUGGUCAAACCAUAGAAGCUAAACCUGAACUGAAUCUUGUGGAUAAGAAACAUUGUGCAGUUCAUCUGCGAAAAUGCUUGCUACAGUUCAAUAAUGGAGGGAGGAAACAGCUGGUCUGCACAUUCGUGAGUGAACAGCAUUUAAUAAGCUUCCAGGGCACAAAAGAAGAAAUGAUGCAACUUGAGGUGAAUCUUGGUGAGGAAGCAAUCCAGCAUGGCAUGAAUCGCCUGCCACUAUCUGGAAAUCACUUGUGUGAGGUUGCUCCUGGAAUUGCACAUUUUUCAUGGAAGGAACCAAUUAAUCUUUCCCAGUGUUACUACAGUGCUGUUUACUAUGCUCUGGUGAUCCAUCACUUGCCCUUCUUUGGCUGCUCCAAUGUAAAUUGUCAUAACUGUUAUGGCAGCAUGCCUGAAAGAAGGAAUUAUCAUCUCAGUGGAGCAGUGGGACACGCCAUGUAA